AGUUUGAUCCGUGCUCAGAACGACGCUGGCGGCAUGCCUAACACAUGCAAGUCGAAACGAGACCUUCGGGUCUAGUGGCGCACGGGUGCGUUAACGCGUGGGAAUCUGCCCCUUGGUUCGGAAUAACAGCGAGAAAUUGCUGCUAAUACCGGAUAAUGACGUAAGUCCAAAGAUUUAUCGCCAAGGGAUGAGCCCGCGUAGGAUUAGCUAGUUGGUGUGGUAAAGGCGCACCAAGGCGACGAUCCUUAGCUGGUCUGAGAGGAUGAUCAGCCACACUGGGACUGAGACACGGCCCAGACUCCUACGGGAGGCAGCAGUGGGGAAUAUUGGACAAUGGGCGAAAGCCUGAUCCAGCAAUGCCGCGUGAGUGAUGAAGGCCUUAGGGUUGUAAAGCUCUUUACCCGGGAUGAUAAUGACAGUACCGGGAGAAUAAGCUCCGGCUAACUCCGUG
rnacentral:rRNA from 1 species